rnacentral:SRP_RNA from 1 species
GCCAGGCACAGUGGCGCAUGUCUGUAGUCCCAGCUAUUCGGCAGGCUGAAGUGAGAGGAUCUCUUGAGUCCAGGAGUUCUGGGCUGUAGUGUGCUAUGCUGAUCGGGUGUCCGCACUAAGUUCGGCAUCAAUAUGGUGACCUCCUAGGAGCUGUGGACCACCAAGUUGCCUAAGGAGUGGGGAAAUGGCCCAGGUCAGAAAUGGAGCAGGUCAAAACUCCCGUGCUGAUCAGGAGUGGGAUCACACCUGUGAAUAGCCACUGUAUUCCAGCCUGGGCAACCCAGCGAGACCCUGUCUCU